UACGGAGGAUGCGAGCGUUAUCCGGAUUUAUUGGGUUUAAAGGGUGCGCAGGCGGAUUUUUAAGUCAGCGGUCAAAUCGUGGGGCUCAACCCCAUCCAGCCGUUGAAACUGGCGGGCUGGAGUUGGAGAGAAGUACGCGGAAUGCGCGGUGUAGCGGUGAAAUGCUUAGAUAUCGCGCAGAACCCCGAUUGCGAAGGCAGCGUACCGGCUCCACACUGACGCUGAGGCACGAAAGCGUGGGUAUCGAACAGG
rnacentral:rRNA from 1 species